UCCAAGCCGAUGCUGAGAAGGGGUCCCUAGCCAUCCUGCCCUUGGAGAGGCCACCCACGUUCCCCAGGCUAGUGUCCAGAAAGGCUGCAUUUCUCAAAGGCCACCAGAAGCCACAGUUCCCUGGCCCUCCCCAGUCUGAGAGACAGUGUGUGCAGAGCCCUGGAAGAUGAAGAACAUCGGGUCUGGGUCCCCAGACGACCAUUCAGUGGCAACAUGCACAUGGUCUCCAGGUCCAGUUCCAGAAGCAUCUGCUAUCAGGGGUGUCAUGGCUGAUCCCUGGCAGAAGCAUUUAACUGGCUUUGUGUGGAGCUGGACCAUGUCACAGGCUAGUGGUCUACGGACGGGCUCUCCCGGGGACCCCAUCCCACCAGGUGUGAUGGGCAGGGUGUGGGGAGACAGGUUCACCCUGUCUGUUCCUACUUAG
rnacentral:lncRNA from 1 species